UUUUUCCUACAGCCCUUUGGAAAUGUAAAACCAUUCUUAGCUCACGCGCCAUCCCUAAGAGGUCCUGGGCCAACCCUCCAGCAACCCUUGCUGCUCCCUGUGGUCUCUGAACCAGCGGUAUCCACCCUACCCCGCAGGCUGUUAGAAAUUCAGAAUCCCAGGCCCCACUCUACACCUGCCUCUUUAGCAAGAACCCAAGUCCUUCCAUCUAGCGGUAGAUGCUAACUCCUCAUCCCUUGAAUCUGUGCUGAGCUUCAUCUUGCUCCGGUGAAUAGACUGUCAGAGAAGGUGCAGUGUCAUUUAUGUUCUUGGUCCCAAGAGCCUUUACAGCUUGUCACCCCACCCCACGCCUCCGAGAUCAUCCUGAGAACACAUUGGUGGAACAGAGGCUCUUGGCCCAAGGCCAGCCUAGAUUAGCCAGGAAUUUGCCAAUAACCUGCCACCCUCCCUCCGAAGUGAGCCUUAGUUCAAACCAGAACUGCCUAAUCAAGUUCACCAGGAUGAGCAGAACCAAACCAUUCCCCCAGGCCGCAGAUUACUGGGCAAUACUCAGUGAGUGUCCCUUUAAGAAAUUGACCUUUGGGGUGUUUUCUUACACAGCAUCAUUGUAGCAACAGGUUUCUGAUGUAGAUGCUGAAAAACUCUACUGGAUUUCCUUGGUAUUUUGUCUCAGUUGCGACUCAAGACUACACUAGAGGGAGACCGGAGGGGAAGACUUGAGACAAGAGUCAGCUUCUGUUCCCAAUUAGUUUAUGGCCCAACAUUUUGUACGUGUCAGAUCUGGUCUCCUAGAAUCAUCCUUCUUGCUCAGGCCUCGAUUGUGGCUAAGAUUCCGCAUAACCCACCCAUUUCCAGAGGUGGUUCACAGUGGUUCCGGAAUCCUAAUGAGUGGAUAAUCAGUUUAUUUGGGUUUUUUGAUUUGCUGUGUGUGUGUGUGUGUGUGUGUGUGUGUGCGCGCGCGUGCGCGUGAAUGUACAAAACUGGGUUCUUUAUUUAGCAUUUUCUAAAGGGACAAAAAAUUAACACACAUCUAAAUGGCCACCAAUAGACAACUUUUUGAAGAAACUGUGUUAUACCCAAUAUUAAGACAUAUUGUGUAUCUAUGGAAAAAAAAUAAAAACAUUAAUAUAUAAA